AAACUGAGGCCUGGAGAGGUCAAAUCACUUGCCAAGCACGCAACCAGGAUUCAAAUCUAGAACUCCACCCCAUGCCACCUCCCUGUCUGCUCACAGCUGGACCUCUCCAGGGAAUGCCUUCCUCCACCUUCAUGUCAUCUCCUCCCUGGUGCCUUGUGCCCUGCUCAUUACCUAAGAUGCCUACCACAGCAUGGUGUGCCAAGUGGUGCCAUGUUCGCACUCGGGAUUCGAACCAGCGAACCCCAGGCCGCUGAGAAACAGAACGUGCGAACUUAACCGCUGUGCCACCGGGCCGGCCCCAACCAUGAAAUUCUUGAUUGUGCCAUAUUCUCUUGCACCCCAAGCUUGUCUGAAAUCCUUUCCCCCACCUCAGUAUUCACUCCCCCCUCCCCUUCACCUAACUCCUCGUUAUUUUCAGCUAUUCCACGUUACCUCCUCCUUCAGGGAGCUUUCUCUAACCCGCAAGGUUUUGAUAGCUGCUUCGUUUGGGCUCCCACAGUCUCCUGCCUUUCCCUGAUUCUAGCCCUAACACUGUAUUCUAAAGGGCAAUUUAUUUGUCUCCUAACUGGACUUGAGCUCCACAAGGGCAAGAGCCAUCUCUUAUUCAACAUGGUUUGUUGUUUGUUGAAUGAAUAAAAGGCAAUUCGUG
rnacentral:lncRNA from 1 species